GAAAUGCGAUAAGUAAUGUGAAUUGCAGAAUUCAGUGAAUCAUCGAAUCUUUGAACGCACCUUGCGCUCCUUGGUAUUCCGAGGAGCAUGCCUGUUUGAGUGUCAUUUAAUUCUCAACCUUAUUAGCUUUUGCUGAUAAUGGCUUGGAUGUGGGGGUUCUCUUUUGCUGGCUUCUUUUCACAGAGGUCAGCUCCCCUGAAAUGCAUUAGCUGGUGCCCCGCGUGGACUGUCUAUUUGGUGUGAUAAUUAUCAACGCCGUGGAUGUCUGCAAUUGGUUUUUGGCACUGCUUCUAACUGUCUGUUCAUUUGGACAACACAUGACAAUUUGACCUCAAAUCAGGUAGGACUACCCGCUGAACUUAA
rnacentral:misc_RNA from 1 species